GACGAACGCUGGCGGCGUGCCUAAUACAUGCAAGUAGAACGCUGAAGGAGGAGCUUGCUUCUCUGGAUGAGUUGCGAACGGGUGAGUAACGCGUAGGUAACCUGCCUGGUAGCGGGGGAUAACUAUUGGAAACGAUAGCUAAUACCGCAUAAUAGUAGAUGUUGCAUGACAUUUGCUUAAAAGGUGCAAUUGCAUCACUACCAGAUGGACCUGCGUUGUAUUAGCUAGUUGGUGGGGUAACGGCUCACCAAGGCGACGAUACAUAGCCGACCUGAGAGGGUGAUCGGCCACACUGGGACUGAGACACGGCCCAGACUCAUACGGGAGGCAGCAGUAGGGAAUCUUCGGCAAUGGACGGAAGUCUGACCGAGCAACGCCGCGGGAGUGAAGAAGGUUUUCGGAUCGUAAAGCUCUGUUGUAAGAGAAGAACGAGUGUGAGAGUGGAAAGUUCACACUGUGACGGUAUCUUACCAGAAAGGGACGGCUAACUACGUG
rnacentral:rRNA from 1 species